UACGGGGGGGGGCAAGCGUUGUUCGGAAUUACUGGGCGUAAAGGGCGCGUAGGCGGCCUGCUAAGUCGGACGUGAAAUCCCUCGGCUCAACCGAGGAACUGCGUCCGAUACUGGUGGGCUUGAAUCCGGGAGAGGGAUGUGGAAUUCCAGGUGUAGCGGUGAAAUGCGUAGAUAUCUGGAGGAACACCGGUGGCGAAGGCGGCAUCCUGGACCGGUAUUGACGCUGAGGCGCGAAAGCUAGGGGAGCAAACGGGG
rnacentral:rRNA from 1 species